rnacentral:tRNA from 2 species
GCGGAUGUGGCGAAAUAGGCAGACGCAAGGGACUUAAAAUCCCUCGCUAGUAGUAGCAUGUGGGUUCAAGUCCCACCAUCCGCACCA